rnacentral:lncRNA from 1 species
GGGGGAACUUGCCAAACGUGUGCAGCCUCUUCUGUUAGCUUUAUUGUUCCUACCUGUUAAGUUUCCCAGAUGUUGAAGACAAGAUGUUGAAUACUGGCACUGGAUAUCAGAACCAGUCUAUGCUUAGGUCGGCACUGUGAAAACAGAAGCAGUAUGACUCACUUCAAGAGUCUGAUUUACACAGCCAUGAAGUAACUCCUUCAGACUAUAUCUCCCUUCUCCCUAAAGUCCCAUUUUCAAAGCCAGCUAGCUCCAGCUUCCCCGGCGGUGGAACUCAGAAAUCCAAACAACAGUUUUCAUGAAGCUGAUAAGCAGGAGCUUCCUUUGCCAGGCCCGCUCCCCAAAGGAAGAAUGCUCACAGCCAGGCCUUGGAGAUGAGAGAUGAGAUGCAUAAUGAAGAACUGUUUGUUUUCUAGAGAUCCACAAGUCAAUUUGGGAUGCUUCAUCAGC